ACUUGAGUGCUUAAUAAUGAGGCUCUCCUGUAUCACCGUUGUGCUUGUCUUGGCAAUCUGCGCUGUUUUUAUGCCGAGAAUUAAUAAAGAGGGUCCCAACUCCGUUAUAGAAUUUGGACUUCCUGGGGCAAGUGCAGGGAGAUAUGGUGCGAGAGGAAACAGAAAUGAUGCCAUGACAUUCACCAAAAAAGUGACACGACCAACCAGACUAAAGAACCAGAGCCGUCUUAGGCGAUCGACGUGAAGGUGACCAGCGGACGACCUUUGAGGCGUGGCUGGGAGCAGCAGAUGGCCAAGAUUAUGAAAGCUUGGAUAACCCUAAUGAAUUCCAUCGUUGACACGUCUCUGCCGUGGAACAAACUAAUACGCUCAAUAAAGCAAUACCAAGGGUCUA